CCAACUAGAAGCAUGAACGGCAUUAGCCUGCACAGCAAGGCUAUACAGUUUUAACUCCCACAAUACCAAGCAAAAUACUUUAAUUGAAAAGGGGAUACAAGCAAAUGCAUCAAUCUUGCAAUUUAAUUAUGCAGCAUUAAUGACUGGGAAAAUAUAAACCAUCAACAGUGAAGUGUCAACUUCCGUUGGUAGCUAGAAGUCUUCAUCUAUGCAAUUAUUUGAGGCACUAAACAAAAGAAACUCUUCAAACACAACUAGUCCCCGUGCAAGAGCAAAUAAUCCUUUAAAAUAU
rnacentral:misc_RNA from 1 species